ACUGUAAAUUGUUAUUGAUGAAAUGUAAACAGAAUAUUGAAAUAGAUAUUUGGUUUACAUCUUAAAAACGUUUGAAUGACUAUCAGCUGUUAUUUUUGUUCAAAGGUAGUAUUCCCCUGCAAAGCAUAAGAGCUAGGUUUAUUACAUUCUCCUCUCCUGCAGUCUGCCAAACUGUGGGCUGAAGACCUAGCUUGCCUCAACCUGCAGGAAGCUAGAAGACUACCUGGCCAUACAAGGGGGCCAGGCACCUCUGUUCCGGCCACAUGUGGAGAGAGUGGAACAGGUCAGGCACAGCUUUCUUACCUUUCUUCCCAUUCACCUGGGAUGAUGGCUUUUAUCUCAGAUAAAAACUUCAGAGCAAAGCCCUGAAUGGACUUAGGUCCUGGACCUGUGUGUAAGACGCCAGAGGCUAGAGGGCAGCCUGAAUGUGCCUCUGGUUUCAGCAGGACUGCCUGCCGCUGGGGCUUGCCUCGGAAAAUCAUUCUCAACUCACUCUGGCCUCCACCCUUCCUUUACCUGGGGUAACAUUUUGACUAAACAGCAACCAGGCACUGGCACUGGCUGAUUGUUCAGCAAAUCCAUUUCUGUUUCUUUUGGAGACACAUCAAGACUCUAUCUCCUAUGAGGUAUGGUCAUGCAGCUCAAUUCUGGCUUCCACUUCAAAGC
rnacentral:lncRNA from 12 species